UUGGGGCCUGUGAAUAGCAUGCAGCCACAUCCAGAAUGUGCAUCCAGAAAGGGCAUCUUUGGACACCUAUGCAGAGGCUGGCCUCUGUCCUCAAGGAGCUUGCAGUCUGGUAGAGAAGUUGAGAACUGUCCAUGCAGAGUACCAACUAUACAAGGCAGCCUGUGACCAGAGAAGUGAUUUGGUCUCCCUGGAAGAGAAGGAAAAAGCUCAACUUGGAAGGACAGGAAUGUGUCCUGCCCACAGUGCCAGCAACAGAGUUCUGUUGAUCAGAAUAAGAGGGUCUUCAAUUAUACCUUCCUGCUUCUAGAUGGUUUGGACCACAGUAGAGGCAUCUGGACAAAUCUGAUUGCUGGUAUUGUGUCUCAGUGAUGAGAAAAAGUAACUAAGACAGUGCCUGACAACAAGAACUUUCACAGAAAAUUCUGCCAGACCCACAGCAGUACAUAAAGGCCACUACAGUCUUGCCCAAGAAGAUUUCUGCAAGGACAACUAUGCAGCAGCUGUCUGUUCUGCUUUGUUGGUGCCAACCUUGUUACUCAUCCUUGAACACUCUCAUUAUUAAUCCUAUGGCCAACAAUUCCUGUGUUAAAAUAGCUAAUGAAAUCCUCUGUAUUUGACCUUUAAAAACCUUCCUCCCCUAAACCUCCUUGAAUAUGCUCAUAGUUUACUAUGGAAUAUGUUCCCACAUUGCAGUGCUCUCUGCUCAUCCCGAAUAAACUCAUGAAUCUGUG
rnacentral:lncRNA from 1 species